rnacentral:misc_RNA from 1 species
AAGUCGUAACAAGGUUUCCGUAGGUGAACCUGCGGAAGGAUCAUUAACAAAGAUUCUUUCUUUACCCCAAUAUCCGUGUUCUGUCUGGCAUCAACUCACUCUGUCUGGUCGUUGUACCGCAGAGGGGGGUUUUGCCGAGUUUUUCUCAAUACACCCAUAUCCACACUGAUGUGAUUCAUACUUUGUCCUUGCGAUAAAGUAGUCUAACUAAAACAACUGUUAACAACGGAUCACUCGGUUCUCA